AGUUUUGAUCACGUCGUACGAUCUGCAUGACUAUUCUAUUCUCCAAGAAAAACGAAAGUUUUGGCAAAAUGAAAUUUGUUAUCUUCGCUAUUUUCGUUAUGAUUGCUAUGGCUAUGACCCAAGCAGAAACACAACAGUGCAGUCCUUGGCUUCAACUUUGUCAUGUAAAAGAAGAUUGCUGCCGUUACUUGGAAUGUUCAACCUAUCAGGCCAAAUGUGUGCCACAAAGCGGUUUAAUCAUACCUGGACGAGAUAAAAGACCUCUUGGUCCUGGACCAUAUCCACCAAAUGUGCCAAAGGAAUAUUUGGAAGAAUAAUUACUUACAACUUCUUAACAUCUGAAAAAUACUAUUUGCCUCUUUCUAUUUAACCACGAAGCUAUUUUUCUUUUAUAUAUAUGUAAAAAAAGAACAGAGUUUUUGUUACAACUAAAUUUAAAUAAAGCGUAAAUCAA
rnacentral:lncRNA from 13 species